rnacentral:rRNA from 1 species
UACGGAAGGUCCAGGCGUUAUCCGGAUUUAUUGGGUUUAAAGGGAGCGUAGGCCGCCUAGUAAGCGGGCAGUGAAAUGCAGAGGCUCAACCUCUGACUUGCUGUUCGAACUGCAGGGCUUGAGUACGCACGAGGUAGGCGGAAUUUGUGGUGUAGCGGUGAAAUGCUUAGAUAUCACAAAGAACUCCAAUUGCGAAGGCAGCUUACCGGAGCGCAACUGACGCUGAAGCUCGAAAGUGCGGGUAUCGAACAGG